GGGAAUAUUGGGCAAUGGGCGCAAGCCUGACCCAGCAACGCCGCGUGAAGGAAGAAGGCUUUCGGGUUGUAAACUUCUUUUAAGAGGGAAGAGCAGAAGACGGUACCUCUUGAAUAAGCCACGGCUAACUACGUGCCAGCAGCCGCGGUAAUACGUAGGUGGCAAGCGUUGUCCGGAUUUACUGGGUGUAAAGGGCGUGUAGCCGGGCUGACAAGUCAGAUGUGAAAUUCCGGGGCUCAACCCCGGACCUGCAUUUGAAACUGUUGGUCUUGAGUAUCGGAGAGGCAGGCGGAAUUCCUAGUGUAGCGGUGAAAUGCGUAGAUAUCAGGAGGAACACCAGUGGCGAAGGCGGCUUGCUGGACGAUGACUGACGUUGAGGCUCGAAAGCGUGGGGAGCAAACAG
rnacentral:rRNA from 1 species